CACGUAGGGGUGCGAGCGUUGUCCGGAAUCACUGGGCGUAAAGGGCGCGUAGGCGGUCGUGACAAGUCACUUGUGAAAUCUCCGGGCUUAACUCGGAACGGUCAAGUGAUACUGUCGGACUAGAGUACAGAAGGGGCAACUGGAAUUCUCGGUGUAGCGGUGAAAUGCGUAGAUAUCGAGAGGAACACCUGCGGCGAAGGCGGGUUGCUGGGACUGAUGAACUGACGCUGAGGCGCGAAAGCCAGGGGAGCGAACGGGA
rnacentral:rRNA from 1 species